ensembl:antisense Junos jun proto-oncogene, opposite strand
AGAGAAUUUUGCCCGGGAGCGCACCUAUAGGUUCUUCUGAACGACGUCUCCAGGGAGAGAAAAAGAUAGUUUUGUUCUUGGCAUCCUGGCCUGGAGUGUCUGAGAAACAGCAAGUUUUCCCCAGACAUCGGUUCUGUAUUUCCCAUCGGAGCGAGUCCAGCGAAGAGCAGCAUGUUAAGACAUUAACUGCCCAAGGCUGUUUCCUUGGAUUUCUUUGUCUGUGAAAUGAAGCAAAACUACACUGCUUGGAUGGAGUGAGAAAAGGACGAGCUCAGUGAGAGCAAGCGACUUUCCCAACAUUAUGGAGAGAGGAGAUGCUGUUACUGGUACCGUCCUGGACCAAGGUCAGCACACUUGGCUGACUAAGCUCAGGAGGCAGUAAGCAGGCUCCGAAAAGCAGUUGCGGGCAGUGCAUGCAGUCUCUUCAUUGUCAAAACAACAGUAGGCUUCAUGCAGCCAAAUGAGUUCUCUUUAAUACCUUGAAAGGACCCUGGAAAAGCCUUGGGCCUGCGCAGAGUGACAAGGCCAAGAGAAAUCCUUCACCCUGUCCGUCUUUACUUAGCACCUCCCGUUUUGAUGUGAAGUUUCUAGGUUUUGUCAUGGCCACUGUGGUUGCUAUAGAAACAGAGCAACAA